rnacentral:rRNA from 1 species
UACAGAGGGUGCGAGCGUUGUCCGGAAUCACUGGGCGUAAAGGGCGUGUAGGCGGCUUGGCUAAGCCGCGUGUGAAAGGCCCGGGGCUCAACCCCGGAACCGGCACGCGGGACUGGCAGGCUCGAGACUGGUAGAGGCAAGUGGAAUUCCUGGUGUAGCGGUGGAAUGCGUAGAGAUCAGGAGAACACCGGUGGCGAAGGCGGCGUUGCUGGGCCAGUUCUGACGCUGAGGCGCGAAGCGUGGGGAG